rnacentral:rRNA from 1 species
UGAGUAACCUGCCCUUAACUCUGGGAUAAGCCUGGGAAACUGGGUCUAAUACCGGAUAUGACUCCUCAUCGCAUGGUGGGGGGUGGAGAGCUUUACUGUGGUUUGGAUGGACUCGCGGCCUAUCAGCUUGUUGGCGAGGUAAUGGCUCACCAAGGCGACGACGGGUAGCCGGCCUGAGAGGGUGACCGGCCACACUGGGACUGAGACACGGCCCAGACUCCUACGGGAGCAG